CCCUUAGAUAUUCUGGGCCGCACGCGCGCUACACUGAUGCAUUCAACGAGUCUAAAACCUGCUCUGAUAGGGGUGGGUAAUCUUUUGAAUGUGCAUCGUGAUUGGGAUAGAUGAUUGCAAUUUUUCAUCUUCAACGAGGAAUGCCUAGUAAACGCAAGUCAUCAGCUUGCAUUGAUUACGUCCCUGCCCUUUGUACACACCGCCCGUCGCUCCUACCGAUUGAAUGAUCCGAUGAAUAUCAUGGAUUGAGGAUUAUAGCAGGUUCGCCUGUCUUGAUCUUCGAGAAGUGAAGUAAAUCUUAUCAUUUAGAGGAAGGAGAAGUCGUAACA
rnacentral:rRNA from 1 species